rnacentral:rRNA from 1 species
AUUGAACGCUGGCGGCAGGCCUAACACAUGCAAGUCGAACGAGAGGCGGACGGGUGAGUAAUGGCUGGGAAAGGGACCGAUCGAGGGGGAUAACUACUGGAAACGGUAGCUAAUACCGCAUACCAUCGGAUGUGCCCAGAUGGGUAUAGCUAGUAGGUGGGGGAACGGCGCACCUAGGCGACGAUCCCUAGCUGGUCUGAGAGGGUGACCAGCCACCCUGGAACUUAGACACGGUCCAGACUCCUACGGUAGGCAGCAGUGGGGACUAUUGCACAAUGGGCUCAAGCCUGAUGCAGCCAUGCCGCGUGUAUGAAGAAGGCCUUCGGGUUGUAAAGUACUUUCAGCGAGGAGGCGUUACUCGCAGAGGAAGCACCGGCUAACUCCGUGCCAGCAGCCGCGGUAAUUC